rnacentral:lncRNA from 13 species
AUGACACGAAAACCAGGGGAAAGCGCGAACGCAGUCCCCCACUACCACAAAUUAUGCAGUCGAGUUUCCCACAUUUGGGGAAAUCGCAGGGGUCAGCACAUCCGGAGUGCAAUGGAUAAGCCUCGCCCUGGGAAAACCACCUUCGUGAUCAUGGUAUCUCCCCUGGGCGAGGCUUAUCCAUUGCACUCCGGAUGUGCUGACCCCUGCGAUUUCCCCAAAUGUGGGAAACUCGACUGCAUAAUUUGUGGUAGUGGGGGACUGCGUUCGCGCUUUCCCCUGGUUUUCGUGUCAUGCAAUGUCAGAAAUUGCGGUCUUGGGGUGGUCUCUAAGUGGUGUUAUGUUUUCGUUGUGGUUGGCGGGUCACUGUCUCUGUGGUUGGCGGAGAUUGUGGGAUGGCUGUCGUCCGUUUUUUUCCCAGCCUAACUACCAACCGGUGUCUGGUUUCGCUGUAGUUUUCGUCUCCGUCCUAAUUUUUGUGUUUUUAGUAGCGACGGGGUUCCGCCAUGUUGGCCUGAGUGCCCUAGAUCUGACCUCGUGGUCCGCCCGCCUCGGUCUCCCGAGGUGCUGGAGUUACAGGGGUGAGCCACCGUGCCCGGCCUCUUUUUUCUCCUCCCGCCCCCCCCACAGUACUUAGUACCUUGCUACUUAGUAGCAGUGUGGCCCUCGACCAGCAGCUUCAGCAUCACCUGGCACCUACCUUGGAGUGACUCAGUUAAGAACUCACACUCUUAGGGCCCCACCUUUGCAACAUCUACUGAGUCAGAAUGUGCAUUCCAUCCGCACUGAAGUUUAACCCAGAUUUAAAGCCUUAACUAUGGUGUCUACCAGACCCUCAUGAUCUUACUCCCACCCAGUCAUCUCUGUGACUGAAUUUUUUUUUGAGGCAGAGUUUCGCUGUUGUUACCCAGACUGGAGUGCAAUGGCAGGACCUCGGCUCACCGCAACCUCCGCCUCCCAGGUUCAAGCGAUUCUCCUGCCUCAGCCUCCUGAGUAGCUGGGAUUACAGGCAUGCGCCACCCUGCCUGGCUAAUUUCAUAUUUUUAGUAGAGAUGGGGUUUCUCCAUGUUGGUCAGGCUGGUCUUGAACUCCCGACCUCAGGUGAUCCGCCCGCCUCGGCCUCCCAAAGUACUGGAAUUACAGGCGUGAGCCACCACGCCCGGCCGUGACUGAAAUUUUAUACAACUCUUUAAUUUUGCUCCGACACAGGGCCUCCUUGCUGCUUGCCAAACCCAGUCCUACCUGGGCGUUUGCUGUAGCUGAUGUUUGCGUGCUGGGGAUGGCCCGUGACCAACUCCCUUUACCUGCUUCAAGUCCUUUGCUCGUAGGGUACCUUCUCAUUACAGCCUCUUCCGACCACCCUAGGAGAUUCUUUUGGAGCAUUAAGAUUUAAUGACUGUCCUGUUGGGUUUCAGACUGUGUGGGGCCUGUUGCCCUUUUCUUUUGGCUGACUUCUCCCUUUUUGUAAUGGGGAUGUUUACCCAAUGCCUGUGUCCCCAUUUUACCUUGGAAGUAAAUAACUGAUUUUCAUUUUACAGGCUCGUAGGUGAAACACAGCCACCUGCCCCUUGCUGCAACUCCUUAUCUCACUUUCCCUCUGUUUGUUUGCUUUUUCAUAGCACUUAGCACCUAAGCUACUAAUUUACCUGCUGAGCCCGGGGUCGAUUUUCUCCCCCCGCCACUCACCCCUACCUUUUCGAACUAGAAUGUGGGCACCGAGGCCUUUUUGCUCCCAGAUGCCUGAAGAACAGUGUCUGCGCACAGGCUAUGCGCUCAAUAAACGGUUGAUGAAUGGACGAAUUGGUUUUUGU